rnacentral:rRNA from 1 species
GAUAAACGCUGGCGGCGUGCAUGAGACAUGCAAGUCGAACGAAGGAUCGGGCUUGCUCGAUCCUUAGUGGCGGACGGCUGAGUAACGCGUAGGUGACCUACCCCGAAGUGGGGAAUAACUGCCCGAAAGGGUGGCUAAUACCGCAUGUGGUCGCACGUUCAUUCGUGCGAGUAAAGCCGCAAGGCGCUUCGGGAGGGGCCUGCGUCCGAUUAGCUCGUUGGUGGGGUAAUGGCUUACCAAGGCGACGAUCGGUAGGUGGUCUGAGAGGACGAUCACCCAGACUGGGACUGAGACACGGCCCAGACUCCUACGGGAGGCAGCAGGCGGGAAUUUUGCUCAAUGGGGGAAACCCUGAAGCAGCAACGCCGCGUGAGGGAUGAAGGCCUUCGGGUUGUAAACCUCUUUUGUCAGGGACGAUGAUGACGGUACCUGGCGAAUAAGCCACGGCUAACUACGUG